rnacentral:lncRNA from 1 species
AGAAUCAUUAUGCAGGGACUUCUAAACCCAUUGAACAUAAUGAUCCAACGCCAUCUCCCAACCUUGAAUUCUUUGUAUUCGGAGCAGAGGAAGAUGAUGUUGAAGGGGGAUUCCUGAUGAGAUUACCCGCCUUUUGAGCACAAAGAGAAGCUCAUUCAGCUGUAUCAUGAGAAUCAGCAGAACAGUCAAACUGGGGCAUUACAAAUGUAAUGUAAAAAAAAAAAGAAAAAAAAAAGAAAAAAAAAAAAGAAAAGAGAAGAGGGUGAAAAGAUGAAAAAUUAGAAAAUCAGGAAAAUUUUUUCAAAUAUUUUCAAAAGGAAAAAGAAAAAGUAUACCCUCAAAGUCCCUAGUUGACUGAUGCUGAAUGGAUUCAGAGUCGUUACGACCAAUUGAAUUUGAUCGAAG